GUUAUGCGAGAGCGUGAGCUUUUUGAUAGGUAACUGAAGAGUGCUCAGCCAAUGUCAAAACUUUGGAAGCGGUGGCCCGGGCGGCUUGUUGGCACAGCGAGGAUGACAAACCAGAGUCCUGAUAGGCAGCAAUGGCAGCUGUUCAUGGUCCUGGUACAGAGGACGGGCUACAGUCCACGAUUGGAG